rnacentral:rRNA from 1 species
GGAAGUAAAAGUCGUAACAAGGUUUCCGUAGGUGAACCUGCGGAAGGAUCAUUAUUGAAUUUUAAUGAAGAGUUCGGUUGUAGCUGGCCCAUUCAUUUGGGCAUGUGCACACCUUUCUCUUUCAUCCCACACACACCUGUGAACCUGUGAGAUAGAUGGGGAAUUUACUUGUUGCUUUUUGGAAUACAAAGGCAAUAGGUUAUUGGGACCUCUGUCUACUCAAUUAAUAUAAACUCAAUUUAUUUUAAAACGAAUGUAAUGGAUGUAACACAUCUCAUACUAAGUUUCAACAACGGAUCUCUUGGCUCUCGCAUCGAUGAAGAACGCAGCGAAAUGCGAUAAGUAAUGUGAAUUGCAGAAUUCAGUGAAUCAUCGAAUCUUUGAACGCACCUUGCGCUCCUUGGUAUUCCUUGGAGCAUGCCUGUUUGAGUAUCAUGAAUUCUUCAAAGUAAAUCUUUUGUUAACUCAAUUGGCUUCACUUUGGUAUUGGAGGUCUUUUGCAGCUUCACACCUGCUCCUCUUUGUUCAUUAGCUGGAUCUCAGUGUUAUGCUUGGUUCCACUCGGCGUGAUAAAUUAUCUAUCGCUGAGGACACUGUAAAAGGUGGCCAAGGUAAAUGCAGAUGAACCGCUUCUAAUAGUCCAUUGACUUGGACAAUACCUUUAUGAUCUGAUCUCAAAUCAGGUAGGACUACCCGCUGAACUUAAGCAUAUCAAUAAGCGGAGGA